GAGGGCUGAGGGGCUGAGGGCUAAGGGCUGAGGGGCUGAUGGGGCUGAGGGCUGAGGGGCUGAGGGGCUGAGGGGGCAGAGGGGCUCAAGGGGCUGAGGGCUGAGGGGCUGAGGGCUGAGGGGCUGAGGGCCUGAGGGACUGAGGGCUGAGGGCUGAGGGGCUGAGGAGGCUGAGGGGGCUGAGGGCUGAGGGGUUGAGGGAGCUGAGGGCUGAGGAGCUGAGGGGUUGAAGGCUGAGGGGCUGAGGGCUGAGGGGUUGAAGGGGCUGACGGGCUAAGGGGCUGAAGGGGCUGAGGGAGCUGAGGGCUGAGGAGCUGAGGGGUUGAAGGCUGAGGGGCUGAGGGCUGAGGGGUCUGAGGGCUGAGGGGUUGAAGGGGCUGAGGGGCUGAGAGGCUGAAGGGGCUGAGGGGCUGAAGGAGGCUGAGGCUGGGGUAGGCCUGGAGAUGGGGUGGUCAGCCUGGGGGCUGCAGGGGUCUCCCAAGGCCUCCCUGUGGGUCUUUCGAGGGCACAGGCCCUGCUCCCGGAGGCUGGGAGUUCUGGCCGCAGGGCCUGUCCUUCAGUUACUAGGCUCCAGAGGUCGGUCCCAGCGCCUCAGACACCCACAUCCAGCAGGGACAGGGACAGCUCGCGGCUGGGAUAGCGUCAGCCCUGGGCCACGGCGGCUUGGCACCACAUCCCGUGACAGCUCUGUCUCCAGGCGUGCUCCCCAGCCCUGCCUGAAGAUGAACCCCAAGCCCUCGCCAGUGGCCAGGUAGGAACAAGGCCAGGAGCCCUGUGGAGAGGAGCAGGGGACCACUGCGUGGACGGGGCAGGCUGGGGCACAAAGGGCACUGCUUCCUCUGGAUAGCGCUAACUCCGAGAGCUCGGGCUCCUAUCCCUAGCCGGGGCGCCUGGCCUCCUGCAGUCGGGUCCCCAGCGGGUGAGCCGGGCGCAGGUGGACCUGACCGAGGAGGCGGCCGGAGCCCCUGCGGGUGAGGCGGGAGCGGCGAGCAGGAGGGCUGACUCAGAAGGUUUAUUUGCAGCGCUGGCGGGGCGGACAAUUGGCGGCCUCGGGGU
rnacentral:lncRNA from 1 species